CUCGUAGUUGGAUUUCGGGUGUGAACGGCCGGUCCGUCUUUGAUGUGUANNGGUUGGUUGCGCCUUAUUGUCGAGGACAUGUUCUGGUUUUCAUUAGCUGGACAUGGAGUCGGCAGCGUUACUUUGAGAAAAUUAGAGUGUUCAAAGCAGGCUAUCGCUCUCACUACUACAGCAUGGAAUAACACGAUAGGACUCCGAGCCUAUUCUGUUGGUCUUCGGGACCGGAUUAAUGAUUAACAGGGACCUUUGGGGGCAUUCCU
rnacentral:rRNA from 1 species